rnacentral:rRNA from 1 species
UACGUAGGGUGCAAGCGUUGUCCGGAAUUAUUGGGCGUAAAGAGCUCGUAGGCGGUUUGUUGCGUCGGCUGUGAAAUCCCGAGGCUCAACCUCGGGUCUGCAGUCGAUACGAGCAAACUAGAGUGUUGCAGGGGAGACUGGAAUUCCUGGUGAUAGCGGUGAAAUGCGCAGAUAUCAGGAGGAACACCGGUGGCGAAGGCGGGUCUCUGGGCAGUAACUGACGCUGAGGAGCGAAAGCGUGGGGAGCGAACAGG